rnacentral:rRNA from 1 species
AUUGAACGCUGGCGGCAUGCCUUACACAUGCAAGUCGAACGGCAGCACGGGAGCUUGCUCCUGGUGGCGAGUGGCGAACGGGUGAGUAAUACAUCGGAACGUACCCUGAAGUGGGGGAUAACGUAGCGAAAGUUACGCUAAUACCGCAUAUUCUGUGAGCAGGAAAGAGGGGGAUCGCAAGACCUCUUGCUUUAGGAGCGGCCGAUGUCGGAUUAGCUAGUUGGUGAGGUAAAGGCUCACCAAGGCGACGAUCCGUAGCGGGUCUGAGAGGAUGAUCCGCCACACUGGGACUGAGACACGGCCCAGACUCCUACGGGAGGCAGCAGUGGGGAAUUUUGGACAAUGGGCGCAAGCCUGAUCCAGCCAUGCCGCGUGAGUGAAGAAGGCCUCGGUUGUAAGA